GACGAACCGUGCGAACGUUGUUCGGAAUCACUGGGCUUAAAGGGCGCGUAGGCGGGCGGCCAAGUCGGAGGUGAAAGCCUGCAGCUCAACUGCAGAAGUGCCCCCGAUACUGGUUGUCUCGAGGGAGGUAGGGGCAUGUGGAACUUCCGGUGGAGCGGUGAAAUGCGUAGAUAUCGGAAGGAACGCCGGUGGCGAAAGCGAUCCGCUGGCCCUCUUCUGACGCUGAGGCGCGAAAGCCAGGGGAGCAAACGGG
rnacentral:rRNA from 1 species